rnacentral:sRNA from 22 species
AUGCUAAUCAGCUUGAUCUGUUUGUGAGUAUGUGAAUAUGAGUAAAUGGUACUUAUGCCUCUCCGGCAUAGACAGGUAUGA